UCACCCAAAUAGAAAUCCCUAACCCCCAAAUUUCCUCAGCUCCUCGCUCAUCAGUCACCACACGGAUUGAAGUCCCUCACCAGUCACGAACUCAAAAACACCUUCAAAUCAACUGCUUUCCAUGGAUUCAAGCUCGAUGUCAUCGAGUGGAAGCUUGAGGAAAAGGGGCCCAGCCCGAUGCUUCUGCUCGGAGAGACUCGUUGUGGUCGUUUCGUGGACAUCUGACAACCCUGGAAGAAGGUUCUACGGUUGUCCAAAUUACUGGGUUGGACGCAAGUGUAAAUUUUUUCAGUGGCUUGAUGAUGAAAUCUGCGAGCGUGGGAAGGUGCUGAUUCCGGAGCAGAGGCAACGGAUUUUGACCCUUGAAGCUCAAUUUGUAGGCUACAGGAAGAGAGAGAAGAGGCUGCUCAUUUGCCUGGGGCUGUCUCUGGUGAUAAGUGGGAUGCUACUUUGUUUGAUGCUUCUUCUGGUUGGCUAAAUAGGUGGGGGGAAUGGGUCAUUAGGUGGGUAGGUGUUAGUGGAAAAAGGCUUGAAUUUUGUUGUAUGUAUUAGUGGCAAAAGGCCUGAAUUUUGGUGUAUGUAUUAGUGGAAAAAGGCCAUAAUUUGUGUUGGAAUGUGUUGUUUGUAGUAGUGGGAAAAGGCCUGAUUUUUUGGUGUAAUUCUCUUUGCAAUCCAAGACUUUAGCAAUGGAAUAUGGUCUUUUUAAUUAAUCUA